UUGGGAGCAAAACGAGAGCCUUGUUAGAAGAUUGCUAGAAAACAUAAUUCCUAAACUCGAGAAAGUAGCUAUGGGUAAUUUAGAAGACAUGCCCAUGAGCAUAGAUGAUUUUUGCCAAAGACUGAAUCCUUCGUUGGAAGGUCUACUAUUGGCUUCUCAAAGAUGUAGUAUUUUGAGAAAGCAUGAGUUCACCUUCGAUCCAAGAAUUCUUAUUCGCUUCACGAAGUUGGAGUCUUUUAGCAAGAUGGACGUAAAUAAUUUGUAAUUUUAUAUUGGUAUCGUCAAAAAAGGCGUAGAUCAGUUACUAGAAAAUAUUGGAUUCACCCAAUUGUGAGACAAAGAUACCGUUUGGGUGCUUACCAGACUUUAAUGGGGCAGUUAAGAAGAGAUGAAAUAAUUUGUUUUAAUUAUUUUCGAAUGUCGUCGUCUACUUUUAAUGAGCUCCUGAGAAGAGUGAAAGAUUUGAAACGACAAGACACCAGAAUGAGAAAGAGUAUAAAUCCUGAAGAGAAACUGGCUAUAUGCUUCAGAUACUUGGCUUCUGGAUGUUCAUUUGAAGAUCUUCAUUACUCAUACCGAGUGGGUGUAUCGACAAUUAGUAAUAUUGUGGCAGAAGUUACAGAAAAUAUAUGGAACAACUUAUGGAGUGAAUUUAUAAGUUUACCAAAUACAACUGAAGCGUGGGAAAAAAU